UACGUAGGGUGCGAGCGUUAAUCGGAAUUACUGGGCGUAAAGCGUGCGCAGGCGGUUUUGCAAGCCGGAUGUGAAAUCCCCGGGCUUAACCUGGGAAUGGGAUUUGGGACUGCAAGGCUGGAGUGCGGCAGAGGAGACUGGAAUUCCUGGUGUAGCAGUGAAAUGCGUAGAUAUCAGGAGGAACACCGAUGGCGAAGGCAGGUCUCUGGGCUGACACUGACGCUCAUGCACGAAAGCGUGGGGAGCAAACAGG
rnacentral:rRNA from 1 species